GGGUGAGUAACACGUGGGUGAUCUGCCCUGCACUUCGGGAUAAGCCUGGGAAACUGGGGCUAAUACCGGAUAGGAGCUCCUGCUGCAUGGUGGGGGUUGGAAAGUUUCGGCGGUUGGGGAUGGACUCGCGGCUUAUCAGCUUGUUGGUGGGGUAGUGGCUUACCAAGGCUUUGACGGGUAGCCGGCCUGAGAGGGUGACCGGCCACAUUGGGACUGAGAUACGGCCCAG
rnacentral:rRNA from 1 species